UAGGGUUUGGGGGAGCCCAGUGGGGUGAAGGAUGAGGGGGUGGGAUGGUCCUUGGCAGCCCCUCCCUCCGGUGCCGAAUCUGGCCUGUUCACCCGGCUAGCUUCUUCCUUCACCUCCUGCUUUCUCCAUUUCCAAACCAUUUCAGGGGACGGGAGUUUGAUUCAUCAGAGUCCACACCGCGGUGGCCGCUACCAUCAUCUGGGGGUAGGGAACUCACUUAGUGGGAACAGAAUGCCCGAGGCUGCCAGAGAGAAGCAGCGGGGAAAGCGAAAGGUAUCCACAAAACUGUGAGCAGGUGAUUUGCCUGCAGGGCUGGGGAGACAAGUGUGCACAGCGCCACCUAGGCCCAGAUGCAGGAAGCACAACUCCUGCAAGACUUGAGGGCUGUUCUGUUUCGGAGAACCUGAUGGAGCAGGUUCCCACAGUGCCUUGCCACUCGGUCUCAGAAAGGCCAGCGCCUCCUGGAGGACAUGUGUGCCAAUUUGCCUGCUGCCUUGCACAGCAGCUGAGGUGAGGAGUGGCCCGGUGAAAGAUUAAAGGAUGCCCCUGGGAUGGUGGUCAGAAUCCUGACUGUAGAUGGAUUCUCCCCAGGGAAGCAAGAAUAAGUUGAAACGCUUGAUCCUGCUUCUCUGAAUGCUUCUGGUUGGCUCCUGUUCAUUCAUGUCUUAGACCUGGCAGAUCUUCAAAAUGCUGCUCGAACAAUGGCCAAUGGGAAGCUAGCACAGCCGCAGCCGGGUGGAAAGGUGAAGGGAGCGGUCGCUGCCUUGGACCUGCGCAGACCAGGCAGGCACAUCAAGAGUUGCUCCUUCUCGUCCUCCGUCCUCUCUCAGCUUCUGUAGCAGAGCCCGACUUGUUCCUUUCAUGAGCUGGGCAGCUCUGGGUGACCCGUAGUUUGGCUAUGUCCUCUUUCCUGACUUCAGGCUGCCUAGACCAGGUUCAUUUUAGCCACGUGACUCCAACAGUUUGCUUUGCCUUGUAUUUCUGCCCCAGUUUUCCCACCCACUGCUCCAGGUGUGAAUACCGAGUCUUCUGCCUCUGGACAUGAUGGCCUUCCUGUCCUUGCAGUCCAUAAAUGAGACUCUGCUGCUGAUCAGAGUGAAGGCAGCAAUCCUAUGCAUAAUCUUCUGAGGCAACUGUCCAGCUGGGUCCCAUUCUCUCUACAUAAAGUCACAUCCCAGGAAGCUACUCCCAUUGGUGUUUCUAACCCCUGGACAUGAAUGGUGACUAAUCCCACCCUCUAUUAACGCCAAGGUGACACUAAGCCCCUCUUGUCCAUUAUUGCCCUGUAGCUUCCUCAUGGAGGCCUUGGGAAGCCCCACGCUGCAGAUGAGGAAAGCCACAAAUCUGAGACUGGCCACUGAGUUCUGACUUACACAGUGAGAGUUCCCCGUAGGUCAGUCUGGCAGUGUUAGCUGCUUGCCUGCGAAAGCCCUCCCAGUGCAUGCUUGGUUAAGGCUGGCAGAGCAUUCCAUCCACCACAGAGGCCAAGGGCUUCUUACAUGGACUGGAACUUCCUGUAUCAGGGGAGGCCCCAUGGGGGCUGUAUGGGGUUUCUCAGAAGGCAGGCGCUGGGACCCCAUAGUUUCCACAGCUGAGUGGGCUCCAGUCCCUCAGGAAUGGCAGAAGAGAAAUGAAGAGGGCAGAGAGGAUUGGCUGAGGACGACCCCUCACUGAAGACUGUUCUUUUAGCUCUGGGAAGAGUCAGCAUUGGUGCUGUGUGAGGAAGAGAUGCUGUGGGCAGCCAAUGGUCUGAGAGAGCGGUGGUGACCAGAACCAGGACACAGCUGCAAGGUUAUAGAUGUCGGGUGACACUGAGGCUCGGAGGAGAGGAAGACGAA
rnacentral:lncRNA from 1 species